AAAUCACUUGAACCCAGGAGGCAGAGGUUGCAGUGAGCCAAGAUCGCAUCACUGCAUUCUAGCCUGGGCAACAGAG
rnacentral:snRNA from 1 species